rnacentral:rRNA from 1 species
AUGGACGGGGAGGAGGAGAACCCGGGGCCCUUCCGCCGCACGAGCUCGCGGACGCGGCGUAUGGCCUCCCGCAUGGCCUCCGCCCUCUCCAGCUCCGACAACCGCGCUCAGGCUGCUUUGGCUCGUCUUGAUGCGCUUGAGAGUGAUAAUGCUGGGGUUGAGGUGGUGGAUCUCAACGAUGAUGAGUAUGGAUCUACAGAUGGGGAGGACCAUGUUUUGAUGCAAAAGAAGCAGUCAAAGAACAUGAAACGCAAGACAAGGCAAGGAAAAGCUUUGGAGAAAAGGGCGGUAAGAUCUUUCAUGGAUGUUUUACAAGAGGCAAAUCUGGAGGCCUUGCCACCUCAUGUCCCAACAUAUCUGAGGGCUGCUGUGGGUCCACCGAGCACUUCAUCCCGUCGCCAUUACUGCUCUGUUUGUGGGAAUUCUUCAAAUUACACAUGCCCCAGGUGUGGAACACGGUUCUGUUCUUGCCGCUGCCAAGUCAUACACAAUGACACUCGCUGCCUGAAAUUUGUGGCUUGA